rnacentral:rRNA from 1 species
GAUGAACGCUGGCGGCGUGCCUAAUACAUGCAAGUCGAGCGAACAGAUGAGGAGCUUGCUCCUCUGACGUUAGCGGCGGACGGGUGAGUAACACGUGGAUAACCUACCUAUAAGACUGGGAUAACUUCGGGAAACCGGAGCUAAUACCGGAUAAUAUAUUGAACCGCAUGGUCCAAUAGUGAAAGACGGUUUUGCUGUCACUUAUAGAUGGAUCCGCGCCGCAUUAGCUAGUUGGUAAGGUAACGGCUUACCAAGGCAACGAUGCGUAGCCGACCUGAGAGGGUGAUCGGCCACACUGGAACUGAGACACGGUCCAGACUCCUACGGGAGGCAGCAGUAGGGAAUCUUCCGCAAUGGGCGAAAGCUUGACGGAGCAACGCCGCGUGAGUGAUGAAGGUCUUCGGAUCGUAAAACUCUGUUAUUAGGGAAGAACAAAUGUGUAAGUAACUAUGCACGUCUUGACGGUACCUAAUCAGAAAGCCACGGCUAACUACGUG